GUGUGUGUGUGUGUGUGUGUGUGUGUGUGUGUGUGUGUGUGCGCGCGCGCACGCAUAUGCACACA
rnacentral:pre_miRNA from 11 species